UCUUGCCAGGCAAGAUUGAGAUCAAAAUUGUGCGACCCGGGGCUGAAGGUAAGGAGGAGGACACACGCUGGCUGACUGAUGAGGACACAAGAAACCUUAAGGAGAUUUUCUUCAAUAUCUUGGUGAGACAUCCUACCCACAUCCUGAGCCGCAGCACACACCACUGUGCUGCUCAAAUUAGGGUCUGGUUAUGCCAGCCAUACCUGUUUGUGCACCCCAUCCUCCUGUCCCAGGUGACGCUAAGCCUCAGCUGCUGCUCAGGGGAGUCCAUUGGGAGAGUCCAUUGGGAGGCCACAUCCCUAGUCCCUGCCUCCCGCCGAGGUCUCAGGACCUCCCUAGAUCCCACAGAACAGGAGUUUCCUUGGCUCAACCCCUCCUUCCUCCCAGGUGCAGGGAGCAGAAGAGGCCAAUAAAGAACGCCAGCGACAGAGUGAGCUGGAGAGCAAUUACCGCCGUGUAUGGGGCUCUCCGGGUGGAGAGGAUACAGGGGACCUGGAUGAGUUUGACUUCUGAGACCACCUUGCUAGGCCCUUUAAGGAUUACUGCAACGUCCUGACCAGCUCUGCCUCCUUACCCCAUCCUGGGGCCCUGGAGGCAAAGGGCAGAUUGGAACCCAGCACUGGAUUUCAGGGGCCCAGCCUGAGGGUGUGUGAAGACCCACGAGGGAGACCUGUUGCAGUCCCAGGGAGCCACCUAAGGCCACGACCAGGCUAUAGGUUUCGCUCCCCAAACAUACCCUCCUUUGCUCCUUUAGCUUUUCCUGUCCCCCACCUUCUUAGCACUUAACCCCACUCUACCCAGAGACUUGAUGAGACCUUGUGCGUGGGAGUGGCAGGAAC
rnacentral:lncRNA from 1 species